rnacentral:lncRNA from 1 species
GCUCCCCUUACCUCUUUUCCAGACUUAGUUUUCCUACUCAGAAGUUGUUACCCCGAAAAUCCUCCAAAAUCUCUAUUCUCUUUGCAACCAAAAUUUCUUCCUAAUUCUUUCCUUCUCUCCCUUUCUCUCUUUCUCUCUUAUUUUUCCUCUUUCUUAUGCAGAAUCCUUCUCCCCCUCCCUUGGCUAUUUAUAGCAAAAA